AGUUUGAUCAUGGCUCAGAUUGAACGCUGGCGGGAUGCUUUUACACAUGGGCAAGUCGAACUGGCAGUACGGACUUCGGUCUGGUGGCGAGUGGCGAACGGGUGAGUAAUGUAUCGGAACGUGCUUGGUAGCGGGGGAUAAUCUACGCGAAAGCGUAGCUAAUACCGCAUACGGCUCUUCGGGGGAAAGCGGGGACCUUCGGGCCUCGCACUAUUAGAGCGGCCGAUAUCGGAUUAGCUAGUUGGUGGGGUAAACGGCUCACCAAGGCGACGAUCCGUAGCUGGUUUGAGAGGACGACCAGCCACACUGGGACCGGAGACACGGCCCAGACUCCUACGGCAGCAGUGGGGAAUUCCUUUGACAAUGGGGGAAACCCCGAUCCAGCCAUCCCGCGUGUGCGAUGAAGGCCUUCGGGUUGUAAAGCACUUUUGGCAGGAAAGAAACGGCACGGGAUAAUACCCCGUGCAACUGACGGUACCUGCAGA
rnacentral:misc_RNA from 1 species